GAACAUUGGCUGGGCAUGGUGGCUCAUACCUGUAAUCCCAGCACUUUGGGAGGCCAAGGUGGCUGGAUCAUUUGAGGUCAGGAGUUUGAGACCAGCCUGGCCAACAUGGUUUCAUGGCAUGAUAUGACUCAAUCCACAGACAAAGGCUGCUGAGACCAGAACAGCUUAUUGUACCAGCCUGUAUGGGAAGCAGAAAUGUAUAGAAGCAAACUGAACCCAAGGAAAGAUUGGUGAUACUUUGGGAGGGAUGACAGAGGAAGGGGAAACACACUGUCCAUCCCUGUCCCAGCAAGGAGCCAGCUCCCAUUCAGCAGUCUCUGUGAACAUCUAGGUAGCUUCCCCAUUCUUUCUGUCCAGUUGUGAGCAGCCACCAACUAUGAUGCCCCUCUUCCAGCAGGCUUUGCUUUCACAUCACAAAGCAUCAUCCUGAGAAACAAUUACAGUUCUUUCUAGCGUUCUGGUUCCUUCAUAGGUACCUAUUGUCCUAAUAAGUGGAAUUCCUU